rnacentral:rRNA from 1 species
UACGUAGGGUGCGAGCGUUGUCCGGAAUUAUUGGGCGUAAAGAGCUCGUAGGCGGUGUGUCACGUCGGCCGUGAAAACCUGCAGCUUAACUGUGGGCGUGCGGUCGAUACGGGCAUCACUGGAGUUCGGCAGGGGAGACUGGAAUUCCUGGUGUAGCGGUGGAAUGCGCAGAUAUCAGGAGGAACACCGGUGGCGAAGGCGGGAUCCUGGGCCAGUACUGACGCUGAUGAGCGAAAGCGUGGGGAGCAAACAGG